rnacentral:rRNA from 1 species
CCGUAAUAAAUAGGAGUGGCAUCACUUUUAUUUUAAAGCUCCGGCGCUUGAAGAUGGGUGUGCGGCUGAUUAGGUAGUUGGCGGGGUAACGGCCCACCAAGCCUACGAUCAGUAGCUUGUUGAAGACUACAUGCGAUAUGCUAGCUGACUGACGUACGUACGUACUGACUGGACGACAUCGUACGAUCUAGCUACUGAGGUUCAGUCCCGUAACGAGCGCAACCCCUGUGAUCAGUUGCCAGCGCGUCAUGGCGGGGACUCUGAUCAGACCGCCGGCGUCAAGCCGGAGGAAGGCGGGGAUGACGUCAAGUCCUCAUGGCCCUUAUGCCCGGGGCUGCACACGUGCUACAAUGGGGCAAACGCAGAGACGACACUGGAUCCGCGAUAUGACGGCGGCGCGCGCGCGAUUAGCGGACAAGAAUAUUAUAGGCGCAGACGACGCAGGCAGAUGCGCCGCGGCGCGAAUUGAUGAUAGCUGAGGACAGUUCCGCAAGGACACUCGUAGAGGUGCUGCAUGGCUGUCGUCAGCUCGUGUCGUGAGAUGUUGGGUUAAGUCCCGCAACGAGCGCAACCCUUGUCUGCUGUUGCCAUCAGGUUAUGCUGGGCACUCUGCAGAGACUGCCGGUGAUAAACCGGAGGAAGGUGGGGAUGACGUC